AUUACUUUGAAAAAUUAUAAAAUCGCGUAAUUGUAAAAUGUGCAAAGCAUCAACAUGAAGUGUUAUGUGCCUGGGUGUGAGCAGAGAAAUGAAAAGGACAUUUCAUUUCAUAGGUUAAUCACUGGCGGUGUGGCACGGGAAUCAAAGGGAACAGUGCGGAGAACCCCAUCCACACAGUUUCAAAGGAACCAGCGGCUACAAAAUUAACACGAUUAGGCUGGCGGUGGACUCGCUCGGGGAUUUCGCAGAUCAAUGCCAAAGUCGAUCAAAAUCGGACCAUCGAUAAAAAGAGCAAGGAGCAACAUAUUGUGAGAUCUUCCCCGUUCGUCAGUGGAUAAGUAGACAUUACAAAAAACUAAAAGGAUAUUAUGCGCGUUGCAAUUAUUGUUCGGAGACAAUAUUAUUUCGUCCCACGUCUGUUUUACUCGAUCAUUUGGUACAGAAACAUUCAAACAAAUUAACAGAAGAAGAAAAGAAAGAUAAACAUUCAUUGUGGAUAUGGGAUUAUUUUACCAUAAAAGACACACAGUGGUUGACAUGUAAUCUAUGUGGACAUAUAAUUCGGAUAAAUAAAUGUACUGGUACUGUACGUUUUCACUUACGUAAGCACAACAUUUCAGCUCCAUGUGUAAAUGUGGAUGAUAUGAGUAGCGAUGCACUCGCGAAUACAACAAUAAAAAAAGAUCAAAUACA